AUUGAACGCUGGCGGCAGGCUUAACACAUGCAAGUCGAGCGGAGAUGAGGUGCUUGCACCUUAUCUUAGCGGCGGACGGGUGAGUAAUGCUUAGGAAUCUGCCUAUUAGUGGGGGACAACAUUCCGAAAGGAAUGCUAAUACCGCAUACGUCCUACGGGAGAAAGCAGGGGAUCUUCGGACCUUGCGCUAAUAGAUGAGCCUAAGUCGGAUUAGCUAGUUGGUGGGUAAAGGCCUACCAAGGCGACGAUCUGUAGCGGGUCUGAGAGGAUGAUCCGCCACACUGGGACUGAGACACGGCCCAGACUCCUACGGGAGGCAGCAGUGGGGAAUAUUGGACAAUGGGGGGAACCCUGAUCCAGCCAUGCCGCGUGUGUGAAGAAGGCCUUAUGGUUGUAAAGCACUUUAAGCGAGGAGGGGGCUACUGAGACUAAUACUCUUGGAUAGUGGACGUUACUCGCAGAAUAAGCACCGGCUAACUCUGUGCCAGCCGCCGCCGUAAUAC
rnacentral:rRNA from 1 species